rnacentral:lncRNA from 1 species
CAUAAAUACUCGCAUAAUAAUAUAUUGGGAAAACUUCAAAUAACCCAUUAUGAUUUCACUAUUUUUCACUUUAAUAUCCUGUAGUUUAAAAGGUAUCAAAUUAGUAUUUUGUGGUUUCGCACUUUCUCACUUUAGUACCAUAUAGUUUAAAGUGCAUCAAGUUAGUACCAUAUGAUUUCACACUUUCUCACUUUAAUACCAUGUGGUUUAAUAUUUCAUUAAGAAAAAAAUAAAACCACAUGGUACUAACUUGAUAAAAAAAUAAAACCACAGAGUACUAAUUUGAUACACUUUAAACCACAGGGUACUAAAGUGAGAAAGUGCGAAACCACAGGGUACUAACUUGAUACAGUUUAAGCCAUAAGGUACUAAAAUGAAAAAGUGUAAAACCACAGAAGGGUUUUUAAAGUUUUCCCAAAUAUAUUUAUAUAUAUUGUUCUUUUCUUGUCACGUAAGCGUCGUGUUGGUAAUUUUAAGUUCAACACGGUAAUUGAAUCAUCUUUUUUAAAUAUGGUGAUUGAAUUAUCAUGUUCAUUUUAACAUUUUAAUCUUUUUUUAACUUAGGAAUAAUAAAUAAUACAAAAGGGAACAAACACGGUGAUUGAAUCACCGUGUUUAACUUAAAUCACGUGGGAAGAAGAGGGCAAACACGAUGAUCGGAUCACUGUGUUCAACUUAAAAUCACGUGGUAAGUGAAGGACUAUUUAUGUAAAUAUAAAUUUGUUAUGAUCAUUUAUAAAAAUAAAAAAAAAGAAAGUGAGGGGGGUUAAAUAUAAAAAAG